rnacentral:rRNA from 1 species
UACGAAGGGGGCUAGCGUUGUUCGGAAUUACUGGGCGUAAAGGGCGCGUAGGCGGUCAGCACAAGUCAGUUGUGAAAUCUCCGGGCUUAACUCGGAAAGGUCAACUGAUACUGUGCGACUAGAGUGCAGAAGGGGCAACUGGAAUUCUCGGUGUAGCGGUGAAAUGCGUAGAGAUCAGCAGGAACACCCGUGGCGAAGGCGGCCCCCUGGGCCGUACCUGACGCUGAGGCGGCGAAGGCUAGGGGAGCGAACGAGG